AAGUCGUAACAAGGUUUCCGUAGGUGAACCUGCGGAAGGAUCAUUAACACAAAUUUUGAUUCACAAAUCUCUUUGCUUCGUUGUCUUUUUUUCUAGAUGCAAGAAAUUGCAGCUAGAGAAGAGAAGAGCAACAAGCAAUUAACCCCCUUUCUAUGACGAAAAAUCUUUACAAAAGAAUGGAAGAAAAAGGAAUGUGUUCGUCACAAUCCGUUUCAACCGUUUUUUUUCCUUUACCCAAUUUUUUUUACCCCUUUUACAACCUGUAAUAGACUGAAAACAAAAAUCAUAUUCUAGAUCUCUAGAAUCUAAAACUAAGAAAACAACUCUUAGCAACGGAUAUCUAGGUUCUC
rnacentral:misc_RNA from 1 species